CCACCUUGGCCUGCUGUGCACCUGGACCUGCCCUUGCCUGUGCCACAGCACAGACCACCCUCUGUCUGCCUCCCCAUGCAUGGCAAGUCUUUCUGAGGCACAGACACUGCCCCAUCACCGUUUCUUAAGCAUCAUUGAAAUUCAGCCCAGGAUACACUGGAUCCAAGGAGAAACACUGUGGCAGAAGGACAGCUGCUUAUUUCAUGGCGGUUGGGAAGAACAGAGGAACAGCACCAGAAAAAAGAAGAGGCCAGGGAUCAGACAUGGACCCCAAGGUCACACUUCCAUCGCUAACCCAGACACACCCACCGAUGUGCUUUGUUAAUUCUCCAGGGAGCUCCAAGCCAACCCAGUUGAUGCAGUGAAACUAACCCACCACAGAAGUGUUGAUAGUAGAGACCGGCCCUCAGCUUGCAAAAGUGAACACUCCGUGCUGCACCACCCCCUCCGUGGAGCAUGAGUCAGGCCCUCUCCCACCCCUUACAAAACAGUUUUAAAUGCUCUUUGGGAAAAAGAAACCUAGCAGCUCGGUACACUGUUAAAUUCUACGUAAGACUCAAAUGCGUCAUUUUUUACUUCCACGUUCAAAGUGAGUUUUUAAAUUUCUAGAUGUUUAAAUAAAAUAGGUUGUUGGGGGAUGAUUGACAACAGCAAAACGAAACCAAAAGCAAAACAAAAGGCCUAAAAACAACCUGAAUGUUCAUCAAUGGGGGAAAAAGUCAACAUAGCAAAUACCACAAAACAGAGGCCAUAUACGUAUGGGGAGGCGGCAAGACAUACUUUUUGUGUGUAUAGAGAAUAGAACCCAAGGCUUUCACACUGAGCUAUACCCCCAGUCCUUUUACUUUAUUUUGAGUCAGGGUUCACCUAGAUGCUAACCUGGGUUGUACUCAGACUUACCACCCUCCUGCCUCAGCCUCCCAGCUACUGGGGUUGCAGGCAUGCGCCACACAGGUGGCUUGUGACGCUGACAGUCAUGUGGCUCGUGCGUCAGCAUCUCUUGGCUGGCAUCUGUGAGCUGAUGCUCCUGCUGCAGGUUCUCAGAGGGCCCCACAGAGCCAGCAUCACCGCAGCACAUGUGCUCUGCAAUCUGCUGGCUGCCUGGCGCUCUGAGGGAGAGAUUGAACCUGGCCAACCAACCGCUGCCAUUUCACUGUGUACAGCUGGUGGGCCAAAAUUUCCUGAAGGUCAGAGAAGAAAGAGCGAAAAAGGGAGACUGUGGACAAUAGCAGUGAUGAUGGGGCUCUGAGGCCAAGAAAAGCCAGUUUCACCCUGGUACCCUGGGAGCCAACGCAUUUCAAAUUAUUUCAACCAAGUUGGAUUGAACUGACAGUUAUGUGUAGCUGAAAUCACCCGGAUGAAUACAUCUUGGGUUCUGAGAAAUAGCAUCUCAAUUCGGGGUCUUCUCAAUUUCCCUAAGACUGUACCUAUAUUCCCAAGUACCUAUGUAAGUUUGGGGACAUGAGGGUAGGUAUUUGAUUCUCGGUUAUCAUCAGUCCGCACUGGCAGCAAUCCGUCACUCAUCUGGUCCUCCGCUGAUGAGCCAUGCAGGUAGCUGUUGGCUCUCAUAUCUGAACGCUCUGUUUUCUUUCUCCUCCACUUUGCUCCCUCUUCAGGGCACCAUAGACAUUUUACUGCCUGGGUGUUACACUGAAAUCGUAGGAAACUUCAGAAGAUUUUCAAAGACUUGGUGUCUCCUGCAUCACUCCUGGGCCUUGGGUCAUUCUGCUGCUCCCUAUCAUACUGGGACUGGGGAAUUCCUGUAAGGCUGCCUAAAGGCCUGUUAUGUUUGGAAUCCAGUAUGUUCCCUCAACCCCAACAAUGCAUGGCAUUGAAGGCUUGGUUGCCGAUGGGCUUUUCAGAAGUACUUGGAUCAUGGGAUGCUUACUCCGUCAGUGAGGAGACCUGAUUUGGGAGGAGAUGGAGAGAGGAGGCAGGGGCUAGUUGAAGGGACUGGAUCAUGAAGGUGUGGCUUCAGGACUGUAUUAAGCCCUCAAGCGCCUUUCCCUGGCUCUCUCAUCCUCUCCACUUGCUGGCUGCCAUGCAGGGAGCUGUGGUCUUCUACCACACCCUUCUGCCAUGAUGUUUCUGCCUACAAGCAAUGGAGCUGGGCAGCCAUGGACCAAACCCCUGAAACUGUAAGUCAAAGUAACUCUUUCCUCCUUUAAAAUGUUUCUCUCACGGAUUUGGUCAUGAUAGCUAAAACUUAGUACCCAACCCGUAUCUCCAGAUUCACUGCCCAGCCCUUUCCGCUCUGCAUUCUAUGCAGGAGGUGAGGUGCAGCCCACCUCUGCUCUUGGGUUUGUCUAGUGACAAGGAGCUAGGGGGAGCCAGUGGACAGUCACCUCAGGACACAUGUGCUCCCCUCUGACUUUCUUCUCCCCUGCCAAAGCCAGACCUUUAUCUCUUCUUGGGGCUAGGAAGGUCUUCCUCUGGUUCAUGUUUAUUCUCCUAAAUCUUUUGUGUUUUCCAUUUGUUCUAAUAUUCUGUUGCUUCUUGCCUUCUUUUAUUUACUAUUUGUUUUUUUUUAUUGCUUGUACUUGGGAUUGAGCUCAGGGCUUUUGCACUGAACUACAUCCUCAGCCCUUUAUAAUUUUUUUUAAAUUUUGAGGCAGGAUCUUAUUAAAUCACUAAGUAGCCUAGGUUGGGAUUGAGCUUGCCAUUUUCCUGUCUCAGUCCCCCAGAGUGCUGGGAUUAAAGGUGGCAUCAUACUUAGCCCCAUUUCUGUUCAUCCAUGUUUUUAUUAGGUAUUGUAGCAUACAUGAUUAAUGUAUCAAAAUUUCAUAUAGUAACUAAAAUCUUUUCUUCUUUCCAGCAAGCAAUAGAAUUUUCAAGUAUUUUAGUUCCAGUUUUGUUGUGGUGUUUUUUUGUUUUUUUGUUUUUUUGUUUUUUGGCUUUUUGUACCAAGGAUCAAACUCAUGACCUCAUACUUACGCCACUGAGCUAAAUCCCCACCUCCCCCCACCUUUGUUUUUUUGGUACUAGAAAUUGAACUCAGGACCUUGCACUUGCCAGGGGUAGGAGAUAUGCAGCUGAGCUAUUUCCCUGGCCUAAGUUUUCCCUACUUUUAAUGUAUACAUUACAAGUGCAAAUGUUUUUAUUUUUUAAUCCCACAGGACUUUUUGAAUGACGGACUGAUUGUAGUACUAGGAAUUAAACCUAGGGUCUCACAUGUGCUAGGCAAGCCGAGCUACAUUCCCAGCCUUUACUUACUUGAAAUGUGGCAUCUACUUAUUUAGAUUUAUCAGUACUUUUACCACUUAUUUGCUCUUUAUUCUUUUGCAUCUUCUUGUUCUCAGAUCUAAAAUCUCCUUCCUUCUGAAGUAUAAAAUCUAGAAUUUCCUUUAUUGAGAUAGUAAACUGUUUUCAUCAUAAAAUACUUUUUUGUUUUCUUGGUACAGUUCCUCUCAUUAGAAGUUGGAGAUUACUUUCAGCACACUGAAAAUAUUCUGUAGCCUCUGGCACCCACCUUCUAUUGAGACUCCAGCUAUUAGAUUGUCACAAUUCUUAUUUCAUAAUAGGGAAACUGAGGUUCUUUGCAAAGUAACCUGUCAGCUCCUUGAAGAUACAGUGCCUGUUUUAUUUUCUGCAGUUGCAUUCCAGUGCUUUCUCCUUGCCUGUGGGGUUUACAGAUGUGAGUUGAUGCUCCUUUUCCCCCUAGAACAGGGAUGAUGAACCUUUCAGAGUGGCCAGCGCAGCCCUGGGGACUCAGUCAUGCUGCUCUGUCCAGCCUGGCCAACGGUGCAGGCGCAGAUGUUUCCAAGGACGGAACAAAGGCUAUCCUCACAGACAUGCCACCCCUCUGGCACGGGAGACCCCAUUUACGAUUUAUCAGUAAUAAUUCUCACCCAGGCUACCCCUUUGACCUACUCAUGCUGUUUUUCUUUCUCUGAUAUAAAAAUAACACUUAAACUGGAUCCCCAAGCCCACAUCAGCUCUCCAGAGACCGCAGCCAAACUCACCCUACGGUCAGGGUGCAGGGUCCUUAUUAUACACCCAGUCUGCCGGUGUGCCAAGAAAUAUGAAACCAUGGCCAGAGGCUAAAAUCAAUCACCCAAGAAGUACAUAUUACCCAACCGAGGCCAGCAUCUUCUGCUGAUUCACCUCACGGAAGGAGGUGGGUAGGGCCUGGGCAGACAGAAGAGCAAGUACGGGAGGCCAAUGAAAGGAGUGCCCGGACAGGGUCCCGGGGCAGAGUGCACCUUCAAAACUGGAAGAAAUCACUAUGGUUUUGUAGUGAGCAGCACUGAUGUUUGUCCCAGCUGAGGUCCACCUCUAGACUGGAAGGCAGCAGGUGAUGACUGAAAAGUUAGAGCCCUGCCUGCCUUGAGAGUGCCCUAACUGGAGAUCUGGGGGUGCAGGGAGCAGGUGGUGAGGUCAUAAUAAUAGUAACCUCUUACUGAGCAUAUAUUACAUGCCAGGCCUGUGCUGUCUGUAAAGUCUAGUGGUUAAGUUGUAAGCACUGAGCCCAGAAACCCUGGGCUUUAUAUUUGGCUCCUUCACUCUAGCUAUGAUAUUUUGAUCAAGUUACUUAAUCUAUUUAUGCCUCUGUUUUCUCAUCUGUACAACUGCAAUAAUAAAAAUAUUUUUCUCAUAAAGUUGCAAGGGAUUACAUGGGAUACAGCAUAUAAUAUGUCAUUAUUUGCAUAUGUAACUUCUCAAAGGGGAGGAAGGGGAAGGAAAGAGAAUCAUGGCAUGUUGUAUAUAUGUGCCAGCUUUCCACAGUGAAUCUGUUUAUUAGGUAAUCCAAACAUGUACAAGUAAAAAAUUUUUUUUGUCUUUUUGAGACAAGGUCUCACUAUGCAGUUCAGGCUGGCCUUGAGCUCACUUUGUAGCCCUGCUGGUCUCGAACUCACAACGAUCCUCCUGUCUUAGCCUCCAGAGUGCUGGGAUUACAGGUAUAAGCCAUCACGCCCGGCACAAGUGAAAUUUUUAAAAACGUAAUUUCUAGUCUUACUCUACUCUGGAUGGUAGAUCUAUUAAAUGGAGAAAGGUUUGAUGGCCAUAGCAAAGAUUCAACUUGUCUGCAGCUUCAGGACAGAAGUUUUCUCUCUAACACACUAGUCUGAAGGCAGACUGACCAGGAUGGAGUGUGGGGAGUGCUGCGGUUUGAAUGUGUCCUCCAAAGUUCAUAUAUUAGAGACACCCUCAAAGCUGCUGGGCAUGGUGGCAUGAGCCUAUAAUCCCAGCACUCGGAAGGCUGAGGCAGAAGGAUCUCUAUGAGUUCAAGGCUAACCUGGGCUACAGAAUGAGUUCAAGGCCAGCCAGCCUGAACUGCAUAGUGAGAUCUUGUCCCAAAAAGACAAAGAAAAAAAAAAAAAAGAAAUAUUCUCAUUGCAAAUGUUAACAGAGGAGGACUUUAAGAUGUAAUGAGAUCAUGAGGACUUUGCCCUCAGGAAUGGAUUAAUGCUGUUAUCGUGUGACAGGGUUGCUUAUCUCAAGAAUGGGUUUGUUACAAAAACAAGUUUGCUCUCUCACUUUCUUUCUCUCUCCCUUUCUUUCUUUCUUUCUUUCUUUCUUUCUUUCUUUCUUUCUUUCUUUCUUUCUUUCUUUCUUUUUUC